GAGCUGGUGAGUUCUAUGAGGAAGAAUCUCUGCCAUGGUUCUCUCCUAGCUUCUUAUGGUUUCUGGCAGUUCUUGGCAUGGCAUCCCUUGGAUACGUAUGCAAUGCUUGAGGAAUCGGCCAUUGGUGGUGAGCCUUGAGAAUGGAAUCGCACUCCAUCCCACAGCCCCUCUCAACAGCAAAGCAACAGGAGAGAAAGUCUUGGUUCCUGACCCUGUGCACAGUGGAGCUGCCAUUUCAGUUUGAUCACCUCCCCACCUAGAGAUGGGAUCACCAGAUGUAUCCCCAGAGAACUCCGUGUAUCUAUCUCUUCACAUCCCUUCAACUUUUCCAAGCCUAACUUAGGAGUUCCUUUUUAGUGAUCUCUACUGUGGGAAAUGGAAAUAUUCACCUCCCAACGUUUGCAUUCUGACAUUGGCUUAUUAUUCUAAGUAACUAGGAUCAGAUUGGCCUAAUCCUAUCUCUUUCGUUUCACAUAUUCUCGUCCCCUUCCUCAUCGUUUUGUCUGGUUGUUGUCAUUUUCUAGCAUCUUAACUGUUGUCUUGAUUUCCAGUUCCAUCUCCUGUGUACAAGGAAGGAACAUGAUCCAUAUCAGAUACUUCCCUAAAACUUCAAUUUCAGCAGGCAUUUGGGGACAGGGUUCUACUCCCACAGUGGGAAGAAGCAAUUUGUGACCUUAAAGAGCAGGUGAAUUCCAAUAUUGCCAUUCCCUAAUUCCUUUGUCAAUAUAGAACUUUGCUUCUGGUUAUAAUACGGCUAAUUAAUACUGUCAUGUUAAAUACUUUUUUCUUUUUCAAAUAAACAUGAUGUAGCUGGUAGUCUA